ensembl:lncRNA
UUUAUAUGUCAGACUCAAAGUAGUAGAAAUUAAAAAUCAAUAAAACUUCAAUAAAAAAAUAAAUAAUAACAAUAAUAUAAUAGCAAUUAUUUAAGCUUUUUCAUUUUGAUAUUUGAUAGAAAAUCUAAAUUUUCCCAAGAAGUCAUUUUAAAAAUUGAAUUCCUAAAUAUAACCUGAAUAUAAUCCUAACUAAAUAACACACAAAUACACUAAAUAGAGUCAAAUCCUUGUGUAAUUUCUAAUAAAUCCCCAUGAUUUGACCAAACACACAUAAACUGCUCAAGCACAAAGGCUUACUGUACAUAACUUUCACAGUACAGUCUCACUUUUAGUAGUUUCUUUCACAGUGUUUAGUAUUAUGGGAUGCAUGUUUCAGAUGCUGCUGUAAUGCACAGACUUCUGACUGGCAGCCUUCACCUCCUAAAUAAAUCUCACUUCAUCCCAGGGACUUAUCAGUGUCCUGUAACGGCACGGCUUCGUUCUGCUGCACCUGUGCAUGGCUGUCAUGAGCGAGUGUGUGUGUGUGUGUGUGUGUGUGUGACCUACACGUUUUACAGCGCUCUCACACCACCGUCCUCUCCGUCUGCUCCUCCUCGGGACUCCUUCUCACCUCAAUGCAGGUGAGCGAUGGACGAAAGCACCUUUGAGACAUUUGAGGAAGAGCUUGGUAAACCACUGCAAGAGGUUCCUCCUCAGAAACCAGUCAAGCAAACGCGAACAGGAGGCAGAGCAGAGAUGUCCGCUCAGAGAAGGGUGCGAGAGGUGAGUCUGAGAUCACACCGCCACAUUCACAGCCUGAACAUGACCUCUGACACACACAUUUAUCAUUGCAUUAAUACACCUUCUGUCCUGCAGGAAGCUCCAAUCGUCCAGCAGGCCCCAAAGAUGAUCCCACAGGAACAUCGGGUCUCCAGCGCCACAGCGUCGUUACGCAGAGCGCUCUCGAUCCAGAACCUGACGCAGAUCGAGACGCCGUGGGAAGGUGUGACGCUGAACAGGUGUCUGAUCGCAGCCAUAACCAUUCUGCUGCUGAGCUCGGGUUUACAGAGAAUACACGAAGCCGUCAGAGGCCGCAGAGACGCCAGUGAAGAGCUCACAGCACUAAAAGAGAGACAUACUAUGAUUAAAAGAGGGAAAAUAACACCACAGGAGCCGGACACUUCCUUAUGGGAGACAUUUUUCUGGUGGAUUGAUGAUGAUGACGAAGGCAAAUCUAAGAGAGCCACUCGUGGGAUAGUUUCCAGGGGCCUCCGGCACCGGGCCCUUCCCGACCUCAGGCUCCUGAAGAAAAGAGAGACAAGAUUCACCGAGCGCAGAAGAAGAGGAAGACACGAAGUAGAUGAGACUAAAGAGAAACUGACAAAAGAGAAAGAGAUAAAAGUCAAGAGGAAGGUCAAGGAAGUGGAAGAAGAGGAGAAGGACAGAAAGAGGAUGAAGAAAGAGAGCAAGCAAAAACCGGUGAAGAGAGAGAAUCAGUGA